rnacentral:tRNA from 1 species
UGCAUCGGCUGGGAAUCGAACUCGGGUCGCCCGCGUGGCAGGCGAGCAUUCUACCACUGAACCACCGAUGC